GUGUCUAGGAAAUGAGUGUAACACAUAUUGUAACGGUUCAAUGGCUGUCGCUUCGGCUCAGGGCUUUAACGCAGUUGCAUCGGUGGACGGCGAAUUGAGUACUGUUGAGUGUACUGGAGCGUUUUGUCAUUCUA